rnacentral:rRNA from 1 species
CCCAGACUCCUACGGGAGGCAGCAGUGGGGGAUAUUGGACAAUGGGGGGAACCCUGAUCCAGCGACGCCGCGUGAGUGAAGAAGUAUCUCGGUAUGUAAAGCUCUAUCAGCAGGGAAGAAAGAAAUGACGGUACCUGAGUAAGAAGCCCCGGCUAACUACGUGCCAGCAGCCGCGGUAAUACGUAGGGGGCGAGCGUUAUCCGGAUUCACUGGGUGUAAAGGGAGCGUAGACGGCCGUGCAAGCCAGGAGUGAAAGCCCGGGGCCCAACCCCGGGACUGCUCUUGGAACUGUGCGGCUGGAGUGCGGGAGGGGCAGGCGGAAUUCCUGGUGUAGCGGUGAAAUGCGUAGAUAUCAGGAGGAACACCGGCGGCGAAGGCGGCCUGCUGGACCGCGACUGACGUUGAGGCUCGAAAGCGUGGGGAGCGAACAGGAUUAGAUACCCGAGUAAA